rnacentral:rRNA from 1 species
UGAGGAACAUGACCUUCGGCGGGGGAUAGCCGGCCCAACGGCCGGGUAAUACCGCGUACGACCACUCGGGGACAUCCCCAGGUGGCGAAAGCAGCAAUGCGCCGAUGGAGUGCCUCGCGGCCUAUCAGCUAGUUGGUGAGGUAACGGCUCACCAAGGCGACGACGGGUAGCUGGUCUGAGAGGAUGGCCAGCCACAUUGGGACUGAGACACGGCCCAGACUCCUACGGGAGCAG